UACAGAGGGCCCAAGCGUUAUUCGGAUUCACUGGGCGUAAAGGGUGCGCAGGCGGCCGUGUGUGUGAGGCGUGAAAGCCCGGGGCUUAACCCCGGAAUUGCACCUCAAACUACACGGCUAGAGCAUUGGAGAGGGUAGCGGAAUUCACGGUGUAGCAGUGAAAUGCGUAGAUAUCGUGAGGAACACCAGAGGCGAAGGCGGCUACCUGGACAAUUGCUGACGCUCAGGCACGAAAGCGUGGGGAGCAAAAGGG
rnacentral:rRNA from 1 species